AGUGCUACACAUCAGAUCUUCAAUGAAUUUGGGCAAUCAGAUCACUUAAAGUUGUUCACACAAAGACCAAUAACUAUAAUGAGAAGUAUUUUAGCAUCCACACCAACAGACAAUACUGUUCUCUUAAAUCUCUUAAAUGUUCCCCUCAUUCUGUUAAAUUUAUACACAAAAUUCUGCCUUUCUCUGCCUUUUUCACUUCAUCUUCAUGCUGUACUCCCUCACUCACACAUUCUUUUAUGCUCUGUUGUAAGGCAGAAACUGAGAGUUUGCAUGAUGGCAUUUUCUCAGACGCUGAAUCUGAUGUGUUCAGAUGAACUCAGGAGCCUACUAGAGUUGCCAAGGAACUUGUGCUUGAACUGAAGACCAGAAACGCAAAGAAAAUCAGUCAAACCAGUCCUAAAGAAAUGAGGAAUGAACAUGGACUUCUUGUGCCCCAAAAGAAAAGACAGAAAGCUCCUAAAAUGAGCAAAUAAGCUGUGCAUCAUCUCUGUGAUUUGGGAAGGAAAUGACUGAAUAUGAUGAAGCCAAUUGAUGAAGAUAUCAAUUGAAUGGCCACCGAGUGCAUCACUGCUACCUGAACCCAUCAGUUAUCUUCUGUGAAGACUGCAUUCACAAACCGCUCUACUGCGACAGCUCAGAUGUUACGGCCUGUAAAAGUAAACAUCACAGCUAAACAACGAGAGCUAGUUGUGGUGGGAUUCUUUUGGCCAAUAUCCCCAACAAGAAUCAAUGACAUCUAGACCAGGUGGAGUGUGAGGAGGACCGUCAGAGACUCCAGCCAGCCGAGCCAUGGAUUGCUCUCACUGUUACCAUCAGGCAUGCGUUAUCACAGAACCUACACCAGCAGACAGUGAGACAAGUUCCUUUCACAGGCAAUCAGACUGAACUGAACUCAUACCAGUAAAACCAUACACACCCCACCAACCUCAUAUGCCCUGCACUCUUAUCAGUUAUGCUGACUGGACUCAAUAUUAUUAUGCACCCUGACAUUCUGUUUGCACUAAUUCAUACCGUGCUUUACUGCAGAGAUGUAUGUGUACUGUGAUUAUUAUUGUUUUCAAUUCAUGCUCUUUGUAUAGCAUAAUUUUUAACAUAUAUUGUUAUCUACCUGAAUUGAGUCCCUUAUAUAUGUGUGUUGCAUAUAUAUAUAUAUAUAUAUAUAUAUAUUCAGAAUUUGUAUUUCAUAUAUAUUCAUGAAUUAAUUCAUUUGUCAUCCAUACUGUCACGCUGCAGUCUGCACCCAAGACUUUCAUCACCUGUAUACUUGUGUUCAUUGUAUUGUGACAAUAAAGAUAUUUGAUUUAAA